GCCUGCUCUGACACCACAGAGCAGCUCACCUACUUCUCAAACUUACUUGUAUUCAACUUGGUACCGCCCCCAUCUGUGGAUGUGGCUUUCUGGCAGCUCGUGAACUUCAGCUUGAUCUUAGGCAAGGGAUCCAUCACAUGCGUCUUAUUCUUAGCUUCUUACAGAUGGACAUGAUGACCUAGCCAGUGUAAACCCAGGCCACCAUGUCCUGAAGCUUCCCAGAGACAUCUCAAAUAUCUGUCUGGAGCCUGUAAGCCGUAACACAGACCAAUAGGACAUCUUGAUAUGGGUGAUAUGGAAAGGGCAGAGUUAUGCUCAAAUAGGGAAGCCAUACUUGCCCAAAUGGACUUGACACUUACACUCCAGGCUUUGAAAGAACCAGCCUGUGGAAACAAAGUAGGAAUUCUUCCACUUUCCUCUUCUGCCCCAAGUCACAGGUGUUGGUCUUGGGCCAGUGAGAUGGCUCAGCCAGAGAGAGGUGUUUGCUGGCGAGCUUUAAGACCUGAGAGCGAGCCUUGGAACCCACGGUGGGAAGAGAACCAACUCCUAAAAGUUAACUCCCUAAAGUUGUCUGCUAACCUCUACACAUGUUCUGUGGUCCUCACAUACAUGAGCACAGACACAGAAAUAAAUAAAAGUGUAAGCAACAAGAGAUUCUUCCAGGAGGCUGGAAAUGUAUCUCCAUGACAGUGCUAAUCUCGGUCUUCUAUCCCCUAAUACCUCAACAAAUUCCUGUAAGAAAGCCGUUCAUGAGAACAGUCACUCACGCACUGGAUGGUUUGUGAGUCCACUGUACAGAGUCUGUCUUUGAGAUAGGUUGUCCUUCCUUUCAUGUCAGGUGAAACUGAAGUGUACUAGGCCAGAAAUCUAAAAGCCCUGUUAUCAUGCCAGCCAGAACGGAUCCUGUAUAUUAGAGUGUAUUGGGUUUUAGAGUUAGCAGGAAUAUGGAAAGGAGUCGCUCAGCAUUGUUGGCACCUGGAGACCAGACAACGAUGAUAACUUAGACAUAAGCUCUCUCGAGUCAAGUGUUAAAAAUAUACGCUGCCCUCCUGCAGUUUUUGGGCCGGUGUAUCUCUGUCCAGUUCUUCCUCUUUGGUCUGAGGAAUGAGUGGUGACAGGUGGGAUUUGGUCAGCAGUUGGGAGGAGUAUGUGCUCUCUUCUGAAAAGGAGAAUUCGGCACAGCAUAUUGAGCAAGCAGCCUUGGCAAUCUAAGUGACACCCAGUGCUCGCCUGCAGCCGGUGUGGCUGCUGCAGGAGCAGUGACAGCAUCAGCCACCACUGAGUCAGAGAAUAGUGGGGUGUGGUGGCCACGCCUUUAAUCCCAGCACUCUGGAGACAGAGGCAGAUGGAUUUUUGUGAGUUUGAAUGAGGCUAUUCUACAUACUUAAUUUCAGAACAGAUAGGGAAACAUAGAGACCGUCUCU
rnacentral:lncRNA from 1 species